UGAGGUGAAAACAGGCUCAGGGUCCACCUGUCCUCGCUGAUCGGUGGAUUUCUGUGUGACCAGGUUACACCUAUGGAGCAGUGGCCCCGACUACCAACAGCUUGCUCAUCCCUCUGCUCACACAGUCACCCGUCCCCUCACUCUCAUUUAUGCUUCACCUGUGAAUGGUGGUCCUGAUACAGCCAGUGCUGGAGCCCGUG